GAUGAACGCUGGCGGCGUGCUUAACACAUGCAAGUCGAACGAUGAAGCCCAGCUUGCUGGGUGGAUUAGUGGCGAACGGGUGAGUAACACGUGAGUAACCUGCCCUUAAACUCUGGGAUAAGCCUGGGAAACUGGGUCUAAUACCGGAUAGGAGCGUCCACCGCAUGGUGGGUGUUGGAAAGAUUUAUCGGUUUUGGAUGGACUCGCGGCCUAUCAGCUUGUUGGUGAGGUAAUGGCUCACCCAAGGCGA
rnacentral:rRNA from 1 species